rnacentral:rRNA from 1 species
AUUGAACGCUGGCGGCAGGCCUAACACAUGCAAGUCGAGCGAGCGGCGGACGGGUGAGUAAUGUAUGGGGAAUGACCGAUAGAGGGGGAUAACUACUGGAAACGGUAGCUAAUACCGCAUACUAUCGGCUAACCCAUAUGGGAUUAGCUAGUAGGUGAGGUAAUGGCUCACCUAGGCGACGAUCCGUAGCUGGUUUGAGAGGACGACCAGCCACACUGGGACUGAGACACGGCCCAGACUCCGACGGAGGCAGCAGUGGGGAAUUGUCGACAAUGGGGGAAAUCCUGAUCCAGCCAUCCCGCGUGGAUGAUGAAGGCCUUCGGGUUGUAAAGUACUGUUGGCAGAGAAGCGGUAUCUGCAGAAUAAGCACCGGCUAACUACGUGCCAGCAGCCGCGGUAAUUC